rnacentral:rRNA from 1 species
CGCGUAGGUGGUUCAGUAAGAUGGGAGUGAAAUCCCCGGGCUCAACCUGGGAACUGCUUUCAUAACUGCUGGGCUAGAGUACGGUAGAGGGUAGUGGAAUUUCCUGUGUAGCGGUGAAAUGCGUAGAUAUAGGAAGGAACACCAGUGGCGAAGGCGACUACCUGGACUGAUACUGACACUGAGGUGCGAAAGCGUGGGGAGCAAACA